GUUUGGACCUGGGCAUUGAAAGCAGGAAAACUCAAUAAUCAAAACAAUUUUGAAUAAAUCACACCUAAACAAUUACUUACCAAAUUGACAUGUUACCUAACAUAUACUGAUUUAUGUUUUCCAUUUUCCAAUGCUGUUUCAAGUAUUGAUUCCUCUAAUUUAUGAACUCAACAUAAGUGAUUUCACUCUCAACUAAAUGUGAAACAUGCAAGGUAAGCAUCACACCUAGUUCCACCAUCUUUUGGGUCAAUUUAGUGAUGCAGGGCAUUUUUGGAAUGACAAAGCAAGUCAAACAAUAAUGGAAG
rnacentral:misc_RNA from 1 species